rnacentral:rRNA from 1 species
UACGAAGGGGGCUAGCGUUGCUCGGAAUCACUGGGCGUAAAGCGCACGUAGGCGGACUCUUAAGUCGGUGGUGAAAUCCUGGAGCUCAACUCCAGAACUGCCUCCGAUACUGGGAGCCUUCGAGUCCGGGAGAGGUGAGUGGAACUGCGAGUGUAGAGGUGAAAUUCGUAGAUAUUCGCAAGAACACCAGUGGCGAAGGCGGCUCACUGGCCCGGUACUGACGCUGAGACGCGAAAGCGUGGGGAGGCGAACAGG